rnacentral:misc_RNA from 1 species
UUCAUUUCGGAAGUGCAAUUUAUGUUAUUUUUAGAACGAUGCAUCGGAAUAGGGUUAUUGUAUUUUCGCCUUAAUGUGGAAGGGGGCGUGCCCGGUGGUUGACCAUAACUAGAGCAAAAACACAAAGUCCCCGCACAUGGCGCACUCGGUGCACUUGCACUCUUGGCCAUGUGGAGGCCGACUUAAUCAAUGGAAACGCUGGCAGGGAAUGGGAAUGGCCCGAGCGGAGCCAACUUGGCGUCUGUGGGCAGGGAAGCGGGAGAGCGGGCUAUUCAGGGAGCAGCAGGGGUGGCCUGCUCUUUUCAGCAAUAUGUGAAUGCGGAACUAUUGAUUUUGCAAUAAAAGUGCGCGCGCAGAGCCGAGAUUUAUGCCAAAAGCGGAGAGUAGCGAAUUCCACGAGACCCGCCACGAUGUGUGCCAUGUUGUCGGCGGUCAGUGAGGAGAAGCCGGAGAGCUGGAGCGCUAGAGAGCUGUGAAAUCCGGAGACCCAGAGCCGAGCCGAAUGCAGUCGCCAGUGCGGAGCAGAAAGCCUUGGGUCACGAGCCACCAGCUGCCAGCAACUCGAAGGGAAAAAAUAAUUACCACAAAACAGCACUGCUCAAGAAUUAACAAAUAAUUGUACAUAAAUUAUAAAUCCCAAUAAUAGCCAGAUAAUUGUGCAAAGAAGCGGAAUUCCUGGAACUGUGUGAAUUCUACCUCCAAAUCGACAGGAAAAUCCACUGGCACGUGAUGCAACCAACGUAUGGAUGGGCCCAGUGAUUAAAGUGAAUUUCUGUGGGGUCAGCUAGCCAAAAAUCGAUAGGUUUGUGGCCUAUCCAAGGAACGUGUCCUCCAGCUGGAAACGUGCGCAGCCUGCAGAGCAACCAAUUUUCCCUUUUUUGUGGACCCAUUGAAAAGUCGGAGGAAAAUCUCAACCUACGCAGGGUUAUAUAACCGCACAACAUACAACACCGCCCACGCAGCUUUGCAGCUAAAUCGAUAGACUAAAAACCGACAUGACGAGCUUCUAAUUGGAUUGGAUAGCACGCGAGGGAUUAACCAGCACAGGGAUUAACCAGAGGAGGCACCAGUGACCACCACCCACUUGCUACUUGGAAUUACAGGGUAGUCGCGCGCUGAGAAAUGGGCAAGAAAAAGGUGCCCGUUGAGGACCUGGUGGUUCCACCGCAGGACACGCGAAUAUGCGGCACCAUAUGCAUCUGCCAGAUGACCCUGGUGCUCAGCUCGGUGGCUCUGGUCUACCUCACGGUGGCCAUAUACAUGCCCUCCACCAGGGCCUUCAAAAGUGGCAUCGAUCCCACGCCGGUGAUGUGCACCACCACGCGUGCGGUGAACAAGGACAACUGCGAGUGGGGCAGUUGUGGCGAGUGGUGCUUGAGCAAGACUUCCGGAGCCUGCAUCCAGAUCUACGUUAAUCUGCGCAGCAAUGGCAGCAAUCUCAUAUUCCAGAACUGCACCAACUCGGCCAAUAAAACGUGCUAUGGGAUCGACCAGGAUCGGGCGGACAAGGCCAGGUGCAUCAAUGAUGAGUGCAAGAAUCUGACGGGUACCUUCAAUUGCACCGCUGGCCAGUGUCUAAACAUCACGGAUGCCUUCGAGUGCAUCUUCCACAACAGUGAUGCACCAGUCAAGUGUUCUGGCAGGCGGGGAAAGAUCAACUGCAUGGACAUCAGCGGGCUGUACUCCUGCAGUCGAGGCACCUGCCGGAAGAUCCGGACUCCCUACAACUGUGACCGGAGGUGCGUGGACAUCCCCACACGGAACAAGAACGUGGUGGUCCUCAGCGGGGACAAGGUCUACCUGUCGCAGUGCCAGAAUGCCAUCAAUGCCGAAACUCUGGAGGAGGUGUGGAACGAGUCCAGCGAAAAUGUGGCCAUGACAUCGUGCUACUUCAUCAGGCACACCUCGGACCAGGUGGAUGCGGUGGACUGCAUCAAUGGCUCCACGCUGGAGACCAACAUGCUCAGCGAUCUGACCAACUUCACAUAUCUGAGCCACCUGCACGUGUCGGUGGCCACUCCGGUGCCGGAAAUAGCACCACCCGAUGUGGAUCUCACCAUUUCCAACGAGUCCAAGCUGAUGAUCAACCUGGAGGGGUGUGUGAACACCCUGAUGGACGAGUGCAAGGAGUUCCUUAAGGACUUCGGACGCGAUGGCAGUGACCACAAUGCCCGGGCCCGCUUCCCGUGCUUCUAUUCGCCCGGAAAGAAGGACGUGGUGGUGGCCCGUUUCGACCUGGAGGUCACCUAUCGCCAGUUUGUGUUCGCCUCGGUGGUGCCAUCGGUUCUGUUCGUGGUCUCGUGCUCCAUCCUGAUCAUGUGCCAGACCACCGUCUACGUGGGCGACGAUGCCAAGAUGCGGUUCAAGGGAUGUGUGGACACGGAGACGGUUCUGAACAAGAACAACGUGGGCGCACCCACCAACGGCGACAUGGGCGGGGGCGGCGGCGAUGAGGUUAUGGCCCUAUGAGAUCCGUCACUCUUCGCGGUAGCCCACAUGUGAAAGGUCUACCAGGUGUUCUAGGCAUUCCUCUGCUCCAGGAAGACAGUCCGACACACCAGACGGGAGUCUUCGCUUUGCAAUAAUUGGAGUUGGGCACCAGCUGAAGUCAGGAACACAAUCGAGCAACUUGAAAUUCUUUGUAAUCCUUCCAUCGAACUUUUGACACUCCGACACCCCAACACACAGAAAGAAACAGAGACACGGACCACACCUCAGAGGCUUGCAAGGACACUACUGAGCUAACCAGGACAAACUGAAUCUCACAGACCGACACCAAAAUCCGGUAUCCCAUGCGAGGCGCUUGACAUUCUCAAGAUAACGACGAUCGGCAGAUCUGAAGACAAUAUUAGUAUAUUUUUCGACUGUUUAGUUCAGGAUUAAUUUGGGUUUUGGUUUUUUGGAAUAGAGCCAGAGGCUGCAGGACUUGUAGGAUAGCAGGAGAUUAAGGAGCGAGGUUAUAUUUAAAGUUAUUGCAAUUAUGGAACUUAGUUUUAUCUAGGGAAUAAACGCACACACGCACAUCCACAUGCACGGCACACAAUCACACACACACACAGAGAUACACCCACGACAACACACACCACACCAGAAUCGGCUGAAGAUAUAAAAGAUAUAUAGAACAAGGUUCAGUCGCCGGGA